UACGUAGGGUGCAGGCGUUAAUCGGAAUUACUGGGCGUAAAGCGUGCGCAGGCGGUCUUUUAAGUCAGAUGUGAAAUCCCCGGGCUUAACCUGGGAACUGCGUUUGAAACUGGAAGGCUAGAGUGUGGCAGAGGGGGGUGGAAUUCCACGUGUAGCAGUGAAAUGCGUAGAGAUGUGGAGGAACACCGAUGGCGAAGGCAGCCCCCUGGGCUAACACUGGACGCUCAUGCACGAAAGCGUGGGGAGCAAACAGG
rnacentral:rRNA from 1 species